UUCCUGGGCUGUUCACCUGUGAAGGGGCUGAGAGAUCCACAGAGCUAGCUUGGGAGACAGCGUCCCCUGUGCCCUCCAACUGAAGAAAUUUCAGUGAGCCCAGUCUAGCAUGGACAUGUGACAUAGAUCCAACCCAAGAUGAGGCCGUCCCUGGGCAGCCUGACAGGACUUUGGAAGGCAGCACCCCCACGCCUGGACGUGAGUUGCGUGCUGACGUGGGAUGGGAUAUAGCUGACUCCAAACUGCAAUCCUGGUGCUUGGCGCAAACUGGGCAAAGCUUCCACGUGCCCCUGAGCGUCAGCCCGUGAGAUUGCCAAUAGCAGGGCGAGGCCAGAGUUACCGCACAUCACUGACACCGUCCUCCCAAAUUCAGUGCUCCACCUCUGCUGAGCUUGUUGGGGUGCAAACAAGGGUGUGCUUCUGGAGUUUGCUUUAUACAGUGCAACCGAUUUUUCAAAUGAGGAUAUAUCAGCUAGUCUUAGGACAUUCUGAAGUCAGAGGACAUGUGUGUGUUGGUGAGGAGGAAGUGGAGGUAAAUUUCAGAUUGUUAACCCAGAGAGAGGUUGGUUACACUUCAGCUGACCUGUGCCCCAGAUUGUCCCCGCUUUGGCCAGUCGUCAGCC
rnacentral:lncRNA from 1 species